rnacentral:rRNA from 1 species
GACGAACGCUGGCGGCGUGCCUAAUACAUGCAAGUCGAGCGAACAGACGAGGAGCUUGCUCCUCUGACGUUAGCGGCGGACGGGUGAGUAACACGUGGAUAACCUACCUAUAAGACUGGGAUAACUUCGGGAAACCGGAGCUAAUACCGGAUAAUAUAUUGAACCGCAUGGUUCAAUAGUGAAAGACGGUUUUGCUGUCACUUAUAGAUGGAUCCGCGCCGCAUUAGCUAGUUGGUAAGGUAACGGCUUACCAAGGCGACGAUGCGUAGCCGACCUGAGAGGGUGAUCGGCCACACUGGAACUGAGACACGGUCCAGACUCCUACGGGAGGCAGCAGUAGGGAAUCUUCCGCAAUGGGCGAAAGCUUGACGGAGCAACGCCGCGUGAGUGAUGAAGGUCUUCGGAUCGUAAAACUCUGUUAUUAGGGAAGAACAAAUGUGUAAGUAACUAUGCACGUCUUGACGGUACCUAAUCAGAAAGCCACGGCUAACUACGUG